CUUCCUGAAUAUUCUGGGACAAGUUGUAUACCUGGACAGAACUUGUCAUGGUGCUCAGGGCAAAAACCGUUGCACAGUCUUUGAUAGUGGAUUGGCUAUCAAAGGCACCUUGGGUAUCCAUGAGUAGUACAGCAACCUUCGUUCCAUUGGGUUUAUCAAUUACAAACACUUCACUCCAGAUCUGGAUGCCAGUGGUUUCCCGUUCACAUCCACCUCUCCAUGUAAACCCAGUCAAAGGCUCAGUGUUUCCACCUAUCCAGCAAGGAGAAGUCCUGUUAUACAUGUAUCUAAGCAUGAAGUCCAGCAGAAAAGAUUUUCCUUUGCGGAAAGCUCCUGCUACAGACACAACUACUAUGUUAAGAUCUUUGAUGUGCUCCUGAAGCAAGAUUUUUUCCAAUGCUUCUUCAUCUAAUUCAAAGUUAUGGUCAUCUUCAUGAGCGAGAACAAUCUGUAUGGGGCGCGGCUUAUCCAAAUCCACCUCGUCAUCUGAAUCUGGCAUGACAUCUGAGUCAGGUAGGGCAUCCUCCUCUUCUUCCUCCUCAUAAUGCUUACCUGCCGGCUCGGGCCGUUGGCGGGUCGACCCCGCGCGCCGCGCCGCGUCCCUUUCCGCCAUCUUGUCCGGGUUUAAAAUUAACUCGUCGUGACGUCAGAGCUUCGCCGCGAGACCUUUAUCGCCCGGCGGCGGCGCGCGGGGCGCGGGCACGGUGGGUCCUAGCGCCUCCGGCUGCCCGCCGCGGGAGGGGCGGCGCACGCGCAACCACAGCCCUGCCGGCGGCGAGCGGGGAACGGCGCAUGCGCGGUUUGCGUCUGACGGGCCCCGAGGGGUGGCAGGACCGUCUCGCCGUGGGGAGGGCGGAGCGGGUGCCGCCGCUUCGGGGUCCCCGGUGCCGUUCAGCACCCAGCUCUGCCCCGGCGGCUGUUCAGACUGGCUGCAGGAAGGCUUUAGGCCUGCGAGGUUGCCUGUUGGUAGAGGUCACGUAGCACAUUUGAGUGGCAAAUCAGCACGUGAGGUGGGCGACAGCGUUGCUGAAACCCAUCUGAGCGCGGCAGUGCUCCUGGCGUGGGCGUUUACCUUUCUCAGGGCCCCGAGCUAUGCUAGCUGCGUCUGGGGACGCAGCUCCUGAGUGGCAGCAAGCUAAAAACACCAGUGCCUAAACAGGUGGGAGGAAAAGUCAGACGAGAUCGAAAAGCGGCGUGUUCUGCCGCGGCCCCUGUGAGUGCGUUCUGAAGCUGCACACCCGGCUGUGAGCAGCGCUCGGGGCGCUUUGUGUCGCUGGGACGGGCACACCGGUGGCGGGCCUUGCCGCCUGCAGCUCCGUGUUGGAAAGGGAUGGCACAAACCGCAGCAGCUGAGCGCUGCAGGAAGGUAGCAGCGGCUUGUAGGAGUCACUGUGAAACUGACGAGAAGGGUUCCAACGUGCUGUAUUUAAGCCAGCACUAAUGGAAGCAGACUGCUCCGUACGGAAGUACGCUGCCAUCGGCCUUCUGCAGUUUAAUAUCCCCCACUUAUUUGUGGCAGCUUGCUAUGGAAAGUGGGUGCGUCGCUGCCCGUCCUUCUCACCUCAGCCCAAGUCAAAAGGCAAACUUUCCUUGACGACAGAAAGAAAUCAGAACACGCUCUACAAGUUCUGGAUUUGUGACUUUCAAGGAAGGAGGGAUUCAGAGGUAUUUCAGACGUUUAUAGGUCAGGCAAAUGGAAAUGCCUUGAAGUAAAACACACGGAAAGCCAGAAACCCUGUUAGUGUGACAUAGUUAAGAAUCAGCAGCUCAGUGUGAAUCUGAGGAGCUGGAAACGAAUAAAAGACAAUAAAGAAGUUUCCAAGUUCUGUUGCUAGUAAAUAGUCUUAUUUCUGAUCAGCUCUAGAAGAGUUCGUGCAAAGAAGAGUUUGGAAUACUGCAUAUACAGAUGGAUAGAUUUCUAUUCCAUGCAGCAGGAUUUACUGCUGCUGUAAUGUGAGAACAGAUAUUAAGAACGCCGAGGUCAGAAAGCUCAACCUUAAUUCUGCCCUGUUCACAUGAAGAAAGGAGACGUUCUCCGAGCUGAGGAUUCUGCCUCCAACGUGGCGACUCCUGUCUGCAAAGGUCCCCAACUCCGCCACUUUCCCAGUUGUUUGCUGCUUGCCUCUGACCCAGGCUAGCAAGGAGUUAGUACUGAAACACUGAUUUGAUACUAAGAAAGCCCAGAUCAGAUUCAGAUUCUUUACACUUUUCCGUAUAAAAUUAUCCCCUGUCACCAUCUCUAACCUGUAUGCUGCUUGUUUGUUUAAGGUAACCUGCACAAUGAGAAAUCAGCAAGCCCACCACCUACCUGAGUCACUGCACACAGCGUGCUGCCACUGGGGAGCGGGGCAGUCUCCCAUCCUGAAGGGCUGAGGGUCCUGGGUCAAGCCGGGGAGGUUUCUGGCAGAGGUACUGAGCUUAGCAAUAUCUUUCGUCAUUUGUUUGGGGCCUUAGAAUCCACAUGAAUGGUAAGGCCAGUUUCAGCCUUCCCUUCAGGCUGCAGAGGGGUACAGACAGAGCUGAAGAAAGCCAGCUGUGAGAUAAAGGUGGUUCUUCUGGCAGCCCCCUCAGCAACAAGACAUCUCUGGGGAGCAG
rnacentral:lncRNA from 1 species